CUUCAUACAGGACACCAUGUAAUCAUAGAUUGAUUCCCAGCUGAACAACGGGCUCUUUGGCCAGCUGGGGGCAGACACCCAGGGAUACUUCCUGGGCAUUGGGGAUGGAAGGCUCUUGGUCCAGGACCAUGGGGAAAAGCUCAACGAGUCUUACCCCAGGUUGCAGCCAGUCUAAACAUUGAGCUCCAAACUUUCCUGCCAAUGGACCGAGAUUGAUUACCUCAUCCACAAGGGGAUUUAUACCCACAAGUUCAGGCCCAUAGAACGAUAUUUUAUCUCCUCCAACUGGGCCACUACAUCUAAGUAGGUUACUUCACUUGCCAUUGCAAAAAGGGUCACUGUGGCAAAGCAUUCAGGAGACGCAGUCUUAAAUUGACAAAGUCUUUAGAUGCAAUCAAGCUUCAACAAAUAGGUCCGUCAGUCUAUUUGGCAACAAGAGAGUCUAAAGUUGGAGCGGAAAAGAGAGAAAGAGAGCUUAAAAUAGCAGAAAAUGCAGAUAUCGCUGCUUCAGCAUCAAAAGCAACAGCAGCAUCCACAACAACACUCACAAUUCAGCAAUCAACAGGUCCAGGGACAAAGCCUUUGAAAGGCCGAUAUGUCAAUGAACAAGUCACUAUUCCCUGAAAACCUUGCUGAGCUAAUAAACAGUGCCACUGCGCAAAACGUGACCCUUCAGAGAGAUGGAAUUCCAGGCCAAAUGUUACACCGGUAACAUUUUGGGCUGCAACAGCAGCCUCAGCCAUGGGGGCAGGUCCAUGAUGUACCAUUGGUCUAAAUUAUCUCUGAACAUCUCAACAUCAAAGCAACAUAACCUGCCAGGUUGGUAUUGAUUCCCAGCUGAACAACGGGCCUUUUGGCCAGCUGGGCGCAGACACCCAGGGAUACUUCCUGGGCAUUGGGGAUGGUAGGCUCUUGGUCCAGGACCAUGGGGAAAAGCUUAACGAGUCCUACCCCAGGGUGCAGCCAGUCUAAACCUGGAGCCUCAAACUUUCCUGCCAAAGGACCGAGAUUACCUCAUUCACAAGGGGAUUUAUACCCACAAGUUCAGGCCCAUAGAACGAUAUUUUACCUCCUCCAACUGGGCCACUACAUCUCAGUAGGUUACUUCACUUGCCAUUGCAAAAAGGGUCACUGUGGAAAAGCAUUCAGGAGACCCAGUCUUAAAUAGACAAAGUCUUUAGAUGCAAUCAAGCUUCAACAAAUAGGUCCGUCAGUCAAUUUGGCAACAAGAGGCUAACAUUGAGCGGGAAAGAGAGAAAGAGAGCUUAAAAAGCAGAAAAUGCAGAAAUCGCUGCUUCAGCAUCAAAAGCAACAGCAGAAGCCACAGCAAUACUCACAAUUCAGCAAUCAGGGACAAAGCCUUUCAAAGCUGUUCAUUGUCAGUGUGCAGCUGUAUCCCAGCUACUAAGCCACACCAGCACAGCAGAAAAAAUAGCGGCAGCAGCAGUUUGGUUGAGGGUAACCCCGAACCACUUAAUCCAGAGCGAUGAAAUUCUCUAGCGCGACCUUGCCCCAGUGUUCACCUGGGGAUCCGGUUGAAAGUCACAUUGGCUUGGAUGGUAAUGGCAGUACAAAAGUGCAAGAUUUGGGGAAGUUGUUCACAGAUUUUAUUAUAAACAAGGUGACUUCACAACAUGACAUCUAAGACUUCAAGACAAAUUGAUUGUCCUCACUUCAAUGGUGGAAGCAAAGAAUCGAUACAAGCAUUUCCAGCUGCUUACCUUAUCUGGUAGUAUGGGUUUAUUUUAAACCUACUAAUUAUAUGUUUAAGUUAAGUGAUAAUACAUUUUAUUUAAAUAAUAUUUUGUUUCAGUGAAAAGAACGAGAUUUAAUAUUAAUCACUCAAUACUUUUUAUGUAAAGUGCAAAGGCAUUGCAAAUAUCCACAGGGAAUUAUAUAAUUUAUCGAUAUAAAAUAUCUAAAUUAGUCUAUAACAGCGGGCACAUAACGACACUUUUUUCCACCAUAUUUUUUGUCAGUUUGUUAGCAUCCGAUAAAAAAGCAGUGUGUAUACGACACUUGUUUCAUGCGACACCUAUAAGAAGUAGAACCCUGGCUAUUUAGACCCUAAUCCAUUACCGAUGUUUGCAAAUGUCUAUCGAAAUAAACAAGCUGUCAUUAUUGCCAUUUUCCAUGGCGUUUUCCCAGACAGGAAUUGAUAUUAAUGUAUUCAAGGUUAAUUUUUCUUAAAAAAUUUAGAUUGCAUAAAUAUAAACCCUGGGUAUUCAAGUGAUUACACAUUAAAACACAAACAUAUAACAUUAAUUUUGAACUGUCCUCGUAUAUUUUUUGUUAGUGAACUUAAACAUGAAAAUAAAAUGUUUUGCAUUUGUUGAAUCGUCAAAUAUGAAAGCCAUGCUUAUUUUUCUAGAACAUGCAUAUUUUUCCCGUAUCUUGUUAACUCGCCACUUGUAAUUCAAUUUUAUAUAUACACUAUUUAAAUAAA